UGAGACAUCUGAUCUCGGAGCUUCCUGGCCAAAGGCACAGCACGCAUGGCUGAACUCUAUUAAUUCUAGCUGGAAAACCCUGCAAGGAUACAAGUCUCUGUGUUUCCCAUGCCACAACAGCAAAAGGCAAAAGGCACUGGGACAUGAGAUCUUAAACUGAACAGUGGAGAGAGAGUUAAUAUGUGGCAAUGGAAACAGUCAUGAGAGCUUCUGAGGCCAUUCCCUCUUUGCAGACAGACCUGCUGUGAUUUGACCAUGAUGUCAUCUUCUGAGUAAACUAUUCCUCAUGUAAUGCAAGAUCUGGGACCUCUGGGAAGGAUGUUCUAUUAGUCCAAACAUAGUUCCCUGAAAUGCAUGCACUCCACUGAAGAACAACCCUGUCUGAGCGUCAGGGAGACAGACAUGGGAAUCAAAGUGGCCACAAGUUUUUGGGCAGCUAUAAAUUACCUGGUCUUGAAUGAAGCAUGUCAUCUCCCAGUGUCUGCUUUCUCAUCAUCAAACAAACAAAAUACCUCAAGACAACGUCUGUUCACCACAGUGCCUGCAUCCUCCCUGCUUAGCCCAUAGCUUGGCUCCGACCCUUGGCGUUUCUGGUGACUAGCACUGGCCAUAGGGCUCACUAUCAGAGAAUAAA
rnacentral:lncRNA from 1 species